UGUGUUCGUUCGUCAUCCCGCAUUCGAUCUGCGCAUCGCCGCCUGACCGGCAGCUAUUCGGGCGCGGGCGCCUAGGAUCCGGUGCCCCUCCUCGGACACGUGGUCCGCCGGUGCAGCGCCGCUAGGAGGAAGACAACGAGCGCGGCGGCGAGCAGCGUGGGAGGCGGCGCAGGGCAGCUGUGGCUUCCGGCGGCAAGGUGGGGCAGCAGCUUUGGGCGGCGCAGGCAUGGCAGAGUCGAUUUGCAAGGUUCUAGGAUAAGUGCAGGCAGUCAUGGUGGUCGUGGGCUUCUGAGGUCGCGACCACUGGUGCCCUACAGAGAAGGCCCUCUAUCUUAUGAGCCCGCAGUGGUGUGUAUGUGCAAUAUAAAGGCACCACGGUGGAUUUCAUGGAGUGAUGAUAAUCCAGGUCGGAGGUACUACAGAUGCAGCCGAGCAAGGACUGAAGGGGACUGUGGCUUCUAUGUGUGGUUUGAUCUUGAGCACAAAACAUUUAUGAAGAAUUUACUUUUCGAUCUCCGUAAUGCUGUUUGGGAGUUGAGGAGCAAAGCGGAGGAUAUUACUGAGCUGAAGCAAAUCAAUGAAAUGGUGUCUAGUGAGAAUAAAGAUAAGGUUUUAGUCCUAAAGGCACAAGAGAGGGACCUGGAGGAGAAGAAUAAGCAAUUGGUACUCCUGGCUAACAAGAUCAGUGCAGGGAGUAGGUGUAGUUUAUUCUGUUGUGGCUUUGUAAUGAUGCUUGUUGGCUUGUUCUUUGGCCUGAUGUUAGGUGCCAUGUGACAUAUCCAUAUAACGUGUCUGAUCAUAAUAUGCACAUGUUUGGGGAGAAGGUUUUGAAUGUCCUGAUAGAAAUAAGUUAAAUAUUUGAUGUAUGGCACGUGUUCAGUAGAUCAUAAUAUCAUACUUGAACACCUAUGGCACUUCAAAGUUCAAUGGUAAAAGAUUGGAUCAAGCA